rnacentral:rRNA from 1 species
UACGAAGGGGGCUAGCGUUGCUCGGAAUUACUGGGCGUAAAGCGCACGUAGGCGGCUUUGCAAGUUAGAGGUGAAAGCCCGGGGCUCAACUCCGGAAUUGCCUUUAAAACUGCAUCGCUAGAAUUGUGGAGAGGUAAGUGGAAUUCCGAGUGUAGAGGUGAAAUUCGUAGAUAUUCGGAAGAACACCAGUGGCGAAGGCGACCACCUGGACUGAUACUGACACUGAGGUGCGAAAGCGUGGGGAGCAAACAGG